CAACCCUUACUAGUCCAACGCUCUAACCACUCGGCUAUCCUGCCGCCCCACAAUGCACUUGGGCUUUGGUCAAAUGUAGUGCACCAAAUAGGGGAAUAGUAUAAGGGAAUAAGGGAAUAGUGUGAGGUAAUAAGGGAAUAGGGAAUAAGGGAAUAGGGAAUAAGGGAAUAGUGUGAGGGAACAAGGGAAUAAGAAAUAAGGGAAUAGGGAAUAAGGGAAUAGUGUGAGGGAAUAAGGGAAUAAUGUGAGGGAAUAAAGGAAUAUUGUGAGGGAAUAAGGGAAUAGUGUGAGGGAAUAAGGGAAUAGUGUGAGGGAAUAAGGGAAUAGUUUGAGGGAAUAAAGGAAUAUUGUGAGGGAAUAAGGGAAUAGUGUGAGGGAAUAAGGGAAUAGGGAAUAAGGGAAUAGGGAAUAAGGGAAUAGUAUGAGGGAAUAAGGGAAUAGGGAAUAAGGGAAUAGUGUGAGGGAAUAAGGGAAUAGUGAAUAGGGAAUAAGGGAAUAGUAUGAGGGAAUAAGGAAAUAGGGAAUAAGGGAAUAGUGUGAGGGAAUAAGGGAAUAGGGAAUAAGGAAUAGUGUGAGGGAAUAAGAGAAUAGGGAAUAAGGGAAUAGUAUGAGGGAAUAAGGGAAUAGGGAAUAAGGGAAUAGGGAAUAAGGGAAUAGUGGAAUAGUGUGAGGGAAUAAGGGAAUAAGGAAUAAGGGAAUAGUGUGAGGGAAUAAGGGAAUAGUGUGAGGGAAUAAGGGAAUAGUGUGAGGGAAUAGGGAAUAAGGAAUAAGGGAAUAGGGAAUAGUAUGAGGGAAUAAGGGAAUAGGGAAUAAGGGAAUAGUGUGAGAGAAUAAGGGAAAAGGGAAUAGGGAAUAAGGGAAUAGUGUGAGGGAAUAAGGGAAUAGUGGAAAAGGGAAUAGGGAAUAAGGGAAUAGUGUGAGGGAAUAAGGGAAUAGUGUGAGGGAAUAAGGGAAUAGAGAAUAAGGGAAUAGUGUGAGGGAAUGAGG
ensembl:lncRNA